AAUGAACGCUGGCGGCAUGCCUAACACAUGCAAGUCGAACGAAGCCUUCGGGCUUAGUGGCGCACGGGUGCGUAACGCGUGGGAAUCUGCCCUUGGGUUUGGGAAUAACAGUUAGAAAUGACUGCUAAUACCAAAUGAUGUCGCAAGACCAAAGAUUUAUCGCCCAAGGAUGAGCCCGCGUAAGAUUAGCUAGUUGGUGAGGUAAAAGCUCACCAAGGCGACGACUUUAGCUGGUCUGAGAGGAUGAUCAGCCACACUGGGACUGAGACACGGCCCAGACUCCUACGGGAGGCAGCAGUGGGGAAUAUUGGACAAUGGGCGAAAGCCUGAUCCAGCAAUGCCGCGUGAGUGAUGAAGGCCUUAGGGUUUGUAAAGCUCUUUCAACGGUGAAGAUAAUGACGGUAACCGUAGAAGAAGCCCCGG
rnacentral:rRNA from 1 species